rnacentral:rRNA from 1 species
UGGGGGAUAUUGCACAAUGGGCGAAAGCCUGAUGCAGCGACGCCGCGUGGGGGAUGAAUGCCUUCGUGUUGUAAACUUCUUUUGCUCUGAACAAGGCAUGCCUUUGGGGUGUGUUGAGCGUAGGGGUUGAUUAGCUCCGGCUAACUACGUGCCAGCAGCUGCGGUAAUACGUAGGGCGCGAGCGUUGUCUGGCAUUAGUGGGCGUAAAGGGCUUGUAGGUGGCUGGUUGCGUCUGUCGUGAAAGCUCAUGGCUUAACUGUGGGUUUGCAGUGGGUGCGGGCUGGCUUGAGUGAAGUAGGAGAGGCUGGAAUUCCUGGUGUAGCGGUGGAAUGCGCAGAUAUCAGGAGGAAUACCGGUGGGGAAGGCGGGUCUCUGGGCUGUUACUGACGCUGAGGAGCGAAAGCAUGGGGAGCGAACAGG